rnacentral:lncRNA from 1 species
UACUUUCUCAAAACUCGGAUCUGAUUUAAAGGAAGACAACCUCAAUUCAAAAAUAUUUCAAGCCCAAACUCUAAAUUUUCAAACCUCAGUUCUUCUAUUUUUAUUCUUUUUCUUUUCUUUAUUUUCUUCAUCCCUAGAAUUUUACCGAAAAUUGCAUUACUGAUGCUUUUCGCUGGUAGAAAAUGGGGCUAUUGGCUAUUACGAUUUGUUUGAGGAUGUUGCUAAUAUAAUAUUUUGGUAGCGGAGUUCGGCAGCGGCUCAAUUUUAGGUUGUGACGGUUGGCUAUAACCUUACAUGGUGCUUUAAUGAUAGUUUUGGAAUGAGAUGAAAUUAAUAGGAUCACGGGACUGUGGCGCUACUAGACGGAUGAACUCAAAAAUUAAGAACAUGAACACUCGUAUUCCAUUUAGAGUUGCAACCACCUCCCAAUAUAAAUCUGAUUAAUACCAUUCAAAUCUUCAUUAGGGAUGAUAAAAGGGGAGGGGUAAAUGGGCAUAGGAGAUUUUCUUUUGUUGGUUGGUUCCUAUUUACUUUAUUACCAUUAAAAUCUUCCUGCUCAUGAGAGUAUUCCGGCAAGGUACAACAAUGUGGAGUGGGUUUGAGGAGAAAGAAAGAACAUGGGGAGGAAAAGAUUCAUGAAAUUUUCAAAUAAUUUUUUUUCGAUAUUUCAAAGUGGGGAAAAUGGGUAAUGGCUAAAGCUUAUAGGCGAAUGAUGUGAUCUUUAUAUUCUGAAAAGCGAUAAACGGAUGAUAUUCUUUGGUGGUUGAAAAUGGAUAUUACUUUAAUGAUGAAUUUGUUUUGGAUUGAAAUAGGAAGAUGAAGAUCAUGGAAUCUGGUGUGUGAUGAUGAGGUUAAUUUUAACGUGUGACCUACUGAUAUGGCAACUGACAUGAAUAAAUUAAUAGAGGGAUUGAAUACCACGGUGAAGGACCGUCAGAAUUAAAGGUAAUUCUAGAAAAUUUGUUAACUACAGAGGUGGAUUUGAACGAAGAGUAUAAUGGGGACAAACUUAAAGUAUAAAAAUUGAAGUAAUUUUGUUAAGUUGCUACUCAGCGCCGAAAUAAGC